rnacentral:rRNA from 1 species
CCUGCCCGCUGAGGAAGAAAUUUUUGAAGGGCCGCAGUAUUUUGACUGUGCGAAGGUAGCGUAAUCAUUAGUCUUUUAAUUGAAGGCUUGUAUGAAUGGUUGGAUGAGGUGAAUUCUGUUUUAUAUUUAUUUUAAAUUGAAUUUAGAUUUUAAGUAAAAAUACUUAAAUGAUAUUAAGGGACGAGAAGACCCUAUAGAGUUUAAUAAAUGUAGUAAUUGAUUAAGUUAAGAUUUAAUUUUUAGUUAUUAUGAAGUUUAUUUAAUUGGGGUGAUUUAAAGAUAAAAAUAACUCUUUAUUAGGUUAAAUAUUAUAUUAAGUUAUAUGAUCCAUGAAUAAUGAUUGAAAGAUUAAAUUACCUUAGGGAUAACAGCAUAAUUUCUUUUAAGAGUUCAUAUCGAAAAAGAGGAUUGUGACCUCGAUGUUGGAUUAAGAUUAGUCUUAGGGUGUAGAUGUUCAUAGACUGGGUCUGUUCGACCUUUAAAAUCUUACAUGAUCUG